AUGACAUUCGGAGCGUCGUUCUACUGAGCAAUAUUGUCCGCUCCGUGGAAGAUCUUCUCUUUGUCAA
rnacentral:pre_miRNA from 1 species